GGCACCUGUUUGCAUUAGAUACAGAACACUCCGCAGGGUCCCGAGUAGGCAGUUGUGGUCCACAGGCCACUGGCAAACAGAGGCAGAGCCACAGAGGGGCUGCUCGUCCCCAAAUGUCUCUCCAGCCGCUCUGAAGCUGCUGCGGGCUGCUGUGCUGCAGGUCCAUGGAGAAGGUGGAACACUGGACUAAAGAGACAGGCUGAGGAAGCCCUCAAGUCACCCCUGAUGGAGGCCAGACCUUGAAUGUUACAAUCCCUCUGCUUAUCGACCCUUAAUAAAAAUCUGAGCAGGUCUUCUCUGCAGGACACAGGAGGCUUUCUGGAAAAAAAAACAUGGAAAAAAAGUCCGGAAGUGCUCGACCAAGAGAUCGCGAGAUGGGAGCAGAGAGUACAGGAAAGGAAGGAGGAGAAAGAAAGGCUGGAAACCUUUGAAUGCACAAAAAAAACAGGUCAUGAAAGAUACCACGAGCCAACUAAAAUCUCUGGCUGAAAAUGUGCUGGACACCAUGCAGUUGGAAGAUUUCACUAGGGACCGCAGUGAUGAGGGGAACUUGGAAGCAGAGCUAAAGAGGAAAGCAGAAAAUGAAGAAACCACCCCCUUAAAAAUUAAGUAAAUUUUUUUAAAGUUAUGUGCAUACAUUCUGUAUAUACAGAAAAGAUAUCUAAAUUGUAUGCACGCAGAAGGAGCAUUGCCCCCACAAGGAACAGUUCAUGCUAAAUGGUGCAGAUGAAGAGACUUUGACAAAGGAAGUUUCCUGAGCUGUGGGCAGGGAUGAGAGCUCAGACAAAUGAUGGGAAGCCUCCCAGAUGCCAAGGUUUCCCACCCCCAGGUUUCAAGGGAGGAGAGAGGAAGUGAUGUCAUCUGAGCCCAGUGAGGCCCUGUCAAGGGACCAGGGAAAACUGCCCCCACUUUUUGCUCCCAUCCUCUCAUUGACUGCAGGUGCACAGGCAGCUGCCUGAAAGAGGGCCUGCGAAGUGCAAGCCAGAGGAGUUGGCCUCCAUGGCACAGAGCAGGCAGAAAACAAAUUUGGAGAAUGACCAGCACUCUUGGGUUUAUUUGACUGAAAGUGCUUGUUUUAUUGCAUUCACUCACAUCCAUUUAUU
rnacentral:lncRNA from 10 species